UUAGGAAUCUUCCGCAAUGGGCGCAAGCCUGACGGAGCGACGCCGCUUGGAGGAGGAAGCCCUUCGGGGUGUAAACUCCUGAACCCGGGACGAAAUCCCUGUGGAGGGGGCUGACGGUACCGGGGUAAUAGCGCCGGCCAACUCCGUGCCAGCAGCCGCGGUAAUACGGAGGGCGCGAGCGUUACCCGGAUUUACUGGGCGUAAAGGGCGUGUAGGCGGCCUGGGG
rnacentral:rRNA from 1 species